GUCCAGCACCCUAUUCCAUGACAACAAGAGAAGUUUUGAGCAUGAGCAGAAAACAGAUGUAUGUAGUCCAAAUGAAGAAGACAUUAGGUUAUACUAGUUUAUUGAAGUCACAUUAAACACCCUUGUAUCAGGCAUAAACUUUUAGACGGACAUAAUGAAAACAAGUACUUUUCUAUUAACAACCCUAGAAAGGUUAUUCUGAAUAAAUAAUUUUUUAACUUAGACUCCCAACCAUUACUUUAAGGCAUUUAGUAAAGUUAGUGGAAGUGAAAACUUUUCAAAAUCCAAUAACUGGCAGCUCAAAAUUAUA
rnacentral:misc_RNA from 1 species